GAUGAACGCUGGCGGCGUGCCUAAUACAUGCAAGUCGAGCGAACAGACCCGGAUCUUGCUCCUUUGUCGUUUGCCGCGGGCGUGUGUGUAACACGUGUAUAAUCUCCCUAUCUUUCUGGUAUAACUUGGGGAAUGCGGAUCUAAUACCGGAGAAUCUCUUGAACCGCAGGGGUGAAUGGUAAAAUUCGGUUUUUCUGGCUGUUAUAGCUGGAUCUGGGCUGCAUUGGCUAGUUGGGGAGGUAACGGCCUAUCAAGGGAACGAUGCGUAGACGAACUCAGGGGCGGAUAGGCGACACGGGAACUGAGCCAGGGACCAGAGUACUACGGGAGGCAGCAGUAGGGAAUCUUCCGCAAUGGGCGAAAGCUUGACGGAGCAACCGGGAGUGAGUGAUGAAGGUCUCGGGAGCGUAAAACUCUGUUACUAGGGAAGAACAAAUGUGUAAGUAAAUAUGCACGUAUUGACGGUAACUAAUAAGAAAGCAACGGCUAACUACGUG
rnacentral:rRNA from 1 species